UGUAUGAAACACCUCGCUAAGGACUCAGGAUAAAAGAGUACUUCUCCUUGAGGAGGACACAGUCUGAUGGGGAAACAGGAGUGUACACAGAUGUUUCUUCAUGAUCUUGUGGAAAGUCUUCUUUGAGUAUGGCAUUUCAACUGAAGAUGAUGACCUUCCGUGAAGCAACUGUACAAUUGCAAAGAAGAAAAUGAAAACUCCUGUGAUGAUAUUAGAAGACAUGGAAAGAGCAUUUUCAGUGUCCUAUAAGAAGAUCUUCCAGUGAUAUUGAUCCCAGAAUGUUAACAGCCAGAACACUGAUUUUCUGACAGUAAGUCAAAAUACUCAUAUCA